rnacentral:misc_RNA from 1 species
ACAAACUUGGUCAUUUAGAGGAAGUAAAAGUCGUAACAAGGUUUCCGUAGGUGAACCUGCGGAAGGAUCAUUAUUGAAUAAACUUGGUUAGGUUGUUGCUGGUCUUUCGAGGCAUGUGCACGCCUAUUCCAUCUUUAACCACCUGUGCACCUUUUGUAGAUCUGAGGAACUCGAGGAAACUCGGUUUGAGAAUUGCUGAGCGGGAAGCCCAGCUCUUCUCGUUAUCAGAUCUAUGACUUUAUAUACCCCAUAUGAAUGUAUUCGAAUGUUGCAAUUGGCCUGAGUGUCAUUAAAUCAAUACAACUUUCAACAACGGAUCUCUUGGCUCUCGCAUCGAUGAAGAACGCAGC